GCCACCUCACUUGAGCAUGCCUUGGAUCACAGCUGGCGCU
rnacentral:RNase_MRP_RNA from 1 species